CUUCCCUCUGGCGGCGUGCCUAAUACAUGCAAGUCGAGCGAACGGACGAGAAGCUUGCUUCUCUGAUGUUAGCGGCGGACGGGUGAGUAACACGUGGAUAACCUACCUAUAAGACUGGGAUAACUUCGGGAAACCGGAGCUAAUACCGGAUAAUAUUUUGAACCGCAUGGUUCAAAAGUGAAAGACGGUCUUGCUGUCACUUAUAGAUGGAUCCGCGCUGCAUUAGCUAGUUGGUAAGGUAACGGCUUACCAAGGCAACGAUGCAUAGCCGACCUGAGAGGGUGAUCGGCCACACUGGAACUGAGACACGGUCCAGACUCCUACGGGAGGCAGCAGUAGGGAAUCUUCCGCAAUGGGCGAAAGCCUGACGGAGCAACGCCGCGUGAGUGAUGAAGGUCUUCGGAUCGUAAAACUCUUUUAUUAGGGAAGAACAUAUGUGUAAGUAACUGUGCACAUCUUGACGGUACCUAAUCAGAAAGCCACGGCUAACUACGUG
rnacentral:rRNA from 1 species